AAAAGAUCAGAUGCUCUACUGAUCUUUAGAAUAUCCUGUUACUGCAUUGUGGUCAUCAUCGCUUGUUGUCUUUUAUACAUAAUACAUCAACUUAUAAAAGCAUGUUGUGAUAAAUAUAUUAUGAACAGAAGACAAAGUGCAGUAAAAGAUGAUUCAGUGUCUAAACAACAUAAUGAAAGCACAUCCCCACUUCCUUCCAAAGAGAAGAUGAAUAAACAGCAGAAACCAGAAGAAAAGCUUGACUCAGACAUGAUCACUACCACUCUACUUGAGGAUACCAGAAAGGAUCAGCAAGUUUAUGGAGGAGAAAAUGUGAAACAUGAAGAUGACUUACUGAGUCAAGCAACACUCAGCAACUGGCGAGUAGAAGUUAUCAGAACAAGCAACACAGGCACUUUAAAUCAUGUCACAAUGAGAAAAGUCCCCUCCUCCGCUUCUCUAAAAGAGGUAAACAUUCAUUAAUAAUGAAUCAGGACUCCUGGUGUCAACACCACAAACCCCUUUAAUGCAUACCUUAUAGUAAUUGUAACCAGGCCUAACUAUGUGUCAUUAUUGAACAUUUACAGAUGAUUAUUGAUUAUGCACUGCAGGAAAAUUUUGAGACAAUUGUUUGAAUUUUACAAUGAUUAAAGCAUUGUGAAAAAUGGUUGUGGAAAAAAGUUAGGUUUUUAAAAAAAAAUAGAUGUGUAUGUCAUUGUACAACAAUUAUUCACUAUAGGAGUAUUUUGACCAAAAGUUUGACAUUUUACAAAAACAUUUUACAGAAAUGAAAACACUAUCAAAUAAAAACAUCAAUCUAAAAUGUCAAUGGCAGUUUUGCAAAAGGGCACUUGGAUAUUGACUACAUAAAAAAUAGUAUUUCUACUCAGAUCAGACAUAUUUACAGCUACUAUUACCUACAGUUCUACAGCAACACAACAACUCUCUGUAGAUGUAUGAAACAUCCCUCUAGUCAGGCAAUCCCCUCCCACUCAUCUGAGCAUUAGAGCGGUCCACCACAUUUUGAUGUCAUGGGUGCAUUUACAAAAGAAAGAGGGCUAGUUGUCGGUUGUUGAGUGGUACAUUUUAAACUAAUAAUAACCUUUUGGCUGCCUUCUGGGAAUUGCAGGGGGGUUACAAAACCCUGUGAGUUGUCGGUGCUAGAUAACUCCAGGGUGAAUCAAUAGGUAUUUUACCUGUACUUUUACUUAAUUGACAUUGUUUUUAACAUUUUAAUAAGGUUCUGUUUUGUUCCUGCUAACAUGACAGUGCACAGCUGUGUAAGCAAACCAAACAGGGAGGAGGUAGACGAUGGAACGUGUCAAUGCUGCUUAGUACUGGUAUUACAGUUACGUAGUAUUCCAGUCCUGGAGCAAAGAAAAGUUCACUUUUAUUGAUUUCCGGCCAUAUGAAGAUGAAGUUUGUCAAUAUCUGUGUUGUUUGACAAAUGUUUUGCACUUUUCCUUUAGCCGGGUUAUUGUCACUUUGCCACUGUUGUGUUAAAACAGUCAUUGUAUAUAUAUUUUAUAGUGUAUAUUUUAGUCUUUAUUUGAUAUUAUUAUAAUAUUGUUUAACUGCCUUUAUUGUCAUUUGUGUCCAGUCAGUGUCCUCCCCCUCGUUUUGUACAUCAUACCGCAACUUUGCAAGUAUGUAUGUAUGUAUGUAUGUAUGUAUGUAUGUAUGUAUUGUUGCGUCAGACCAGUUCUUCCUCCCAGGGAAUCUAAGUUACUGGUCAAUCCCAAGUUCUUUCGAUGACAUAUAUGCUGAGUAAGAAGGACCAUCAAGACAGAAUUGGAAUAUUUUCAAGUUUAUACCAAAGCUGUAAGAGAUCAGCCUACCAAUACAUUCAUAUCGGCUGCUCUAGUUGAUCUAGCAUUAAAACGGAAAAAGACUUCUUGAAUAGGAAAACGGUCCCCCCCAUAAAGGAAUGCCUCCCCCUUCCCCAACACUGACAAGAUAAGGAGGGGGAUGCAUCUUUCUCACAUUCCAAUGCCUAAAACACUACACAGACAUCUGCAGACAAAGAGAAACUGGUAUACGGAGUAUAGAUGGAAAAAUACUAGCUGAUCCAAACAUGGCUAUGAAUAAAGAAAGAACUCUUAAACAUAUAUGCAUUCUCCACAGUAUGUAGUGUUGAUGCAGCGUGUAAUGCAGCUUGCUACAAUUCUGUGGGGAUAGCUUCGCCUGUAGCUUAGCUACAUUAAAUGUAGAGUAACUAGUAGCUUAUCUUACGACAAUAAAAAUAUUUUAUCAAAUAAUUUGUCUGUUUAGACAAAAUUGUAAGAAUUUGACAAUGGUAAUUUUGAAUAGUUGAAAAGUUUACAUUGACUGUUACUCUGUAGUGAAUUACAAUUGGCUUACAUGGCUUUUAAACAUGAGUGUGUAUUUCUGUUUUCAUUUAUUUUAUAAAGCAGAAGUUGCUUUGUUGGUCACGCCAAAUAAAUCUGACAAAAUAAUUGCUGUCUGACUUUAAUCGCCAAAUUGUGAUUAGCUAAUAGCAUGUGUGAUUUCACUGCACUGAGCAAAGUUUGGAGGUCUUUUUUUUGCACAUUCCCACAUCCUAAAACACAUAAACACCAUUUCCAUCAAAAACUAAAUUCAGAAAAAUUGCGAUAUGAUGUUUUUGUUUUAUGUAUUUUAUUUUAUUUUGUUAUCCCUUGCACGUGUUCAUGCUCUUUUUGUUUAUUAUUUUGUUAUAGUCGAGUUAUUUCAAUGUCUUAAUUACUGGUUCAACAUUAUUGAGGACAAACAUACUCUUUAUACAUAUUUUGUAUAUAUUUUGACAUGUU